rnacentral:rRNA from 1 species
GACGAACGCUGGCGGCGUGCUUAACACAUGCAAGUCGAACGGAAAGGCCUGCUUUCCCUUGUGGAUUGCGGGUACUCGAGUGGCGAACGGGUGAGUAACACGUGAGUGAUCUGCCCCCAACUUGGGUAUAAGCCUGGGAAACUGGGUCUAAUUCCCGAUAGGACUGCAGGGUGGUGCCUGUGGUGGAAAACGAUUUUCUAGUGGUUGGGGAUGAGCUCGCGGCCUAUCAGCUUGUUGGUGGGGUAAUGGCCUACCAAGGCGGCGACGGGUAGCCGGCCUGAGAGGGUGGACGGCCACAUUGGGACUGAGAUACGGCCCAGACUCCUACGGGAGGCAGCAGUGGGGAAUAUUGCACAAUGGGCGGAAGCCUGAUGCAGCGACGCCGCGUGGGGGAUGACGGCCUUCGGGUGGUAAACUCCUUUCGACCGCGAGGAAGCCACCUGGUUGGAAGGGUGGUGACGGUAGCGGUAGAAGAAGCACCGGCUAACUACGUG